CAGCAGUGGGGAAUAUUGCGCAAUGGGGGAAACCCUGACGCAGCGACGCCGCGUGUAGGAAGAAGGCUUUCGGGUCGUAAACUACUGUCAGGAGGGAAGAAACUGUUUAGGUCGAAUAGGCCUAUUCACUGACGGUACCUCCAGAGGAAGCACCGGCUAACUCCGUGCCAGCAGCCGCGGUAAUACGGAGGGUGCGAGCGUUAAUCGGAAUCACUGGGCGUAAAGCGUGCGUAGGCGGCGCAGCAAGUCAGACGUGAAAGCCCUCGGCUCAACCGAGGAAUUGCGUUUGAAACUGCUGUGCUUGAGUCUCGGAGAGGUUGGCGGAAUUCCAGGUGUAGGAGUGAAAUCCGUAGAUAUCUGGAGGAACACCGGUGGCGAAGGCGGCCAACUGGACGAGUACUGACGCUGAGGUACGAAAGCGUGGGGAGCAAACAGGAUUAGAUACCCUGGUAGUCCACGCCGUAAACGAUGGAUAUUAGGUGUCGGGGGUAACCCUUCGGUGCCGCAGUUAACGCGUAAA
rnacentral:rRNA from 1 species